UUGCCUGGCAACGGGAGCCGCGGGCCUCUCCCCGCUCGCAGGCGGACGUUUUCCAUCUCGCUCCGGGUCUCCUUUAUCUUCGGCGAGAACUCGCAUGAAGAGCAGCUCCUUGUCCGACACGAGGUUAAAGGUCGGACGUGUUUAUCAAGCUGGCCUUUCCUCUUACAAAUGUCAGCAAACUUUUAGAUAAUCACGUGAACAGCGGAGUGACGGUGCCGGACCAGAAGUGGAGCAGCCAGAACUCCAACUGGCUGCUAUGUGGGAAGUCGGCGUUGCAAGCUGUGGCCUAACCCCUGCACCAUGACGCUGGCCAGCCCCAGCAUGCACUCUGUAGUAAUCUGCUACUGGAUUUCGACAUCUUGCCAAGGCCAGGAGCCUGGAAGCCUGGAGCCUCAGCCCGUCUCUGCAACACCACAGCCUGAGUCUUGUCUGCGAUCUGCGUGGCACCUCCACGCUGCCCCACCGCACCCCAGCCCAGGGCCUGCUGCUCCUUCCCGGGUGCUCUCGGCCUCACCUUCUUCCUCACCGCCAUCCCAAUCUCAGGAUGGCAGUGGCCUUGCUUAACAUCCUUUCCCGACUGUCCCCACUUAAAACAACCACCAUGCCUGUAACGGGUGCACACUCACCGCGACCCUGUGACGGCUGCGGUACCAGUUCCCCCAUCGGCAGCGUCGCACGGUCCCACGGUAGCAAUACGUGCUCUGGGAGGUGACCCGUGGAGUGCAGCAGCGCAUCCUCAGGACGUGGGUCCAGCUCCGGCUCCGAGGACGGUGCCCGUCUACGCAGGCACACGCGUCACUGCCUAGGACAGAGCCAGAUUGCCUCAAGGUGACACAGCCACCUUGGCGGGGCCGGGGCGGACCCCGCCCACCAUUCCGCUCCCCUGUCUUCACCAGGCCAGGCCGCGGUGCCCUGUGCUCGCCGCCUCCUUCAGACUCACGAUUGCGCUUAGGCCAUCCUGGCCCCAGGACGCGGCUCUCGCUCUGGGUGGAGCCCGGGCCAGGCUGGCUGAGUGGGCCGCGCCCCUCGCUCCUCCUGUUCAGCUCACAGUCGCCUGCAGUCUGGGUACAGGGGCUCCGUGGGUGCACAGGGGUGCAGUGCGUGGCUCCUGCAGGCCACUGAGCAUGCCAACAGCAAAGCAAGUCUGGCCUGGCUGUGAAGUUGGGGCCAACUCCCGGUGAAUGCUGCAUGCGUGGGAAUCUUGUGAAUGGCCACUUUUGUAGGCAAUGCAAAUCUGUUGCACACAGA